CUCUCUCUCUCAGCAUCCAGCAGCUGCGCCUCUCUCAUGCCUUUCCUGACGCCGAGUGAAGCCUCCCAUACAGAUGAGCACUGGAAGCAACGCACCUCUUGACGUAGCCAUACAGACCGGUUGCGGUGCCACAGUCGGUGUGCGAUACGUCCGUACAGCACGUAUUGCGCAACGUGACUGAUGCUCUGUACUGGCUCGGUACGGUGGAAACCACACACACACACACACAAAAAGCGGUCUCAUUGGCGAGGAGCUGUGGAUAAAACCCGUCGGCCGACCGGACCGGAGGACCGGACCCUGCCCUCGUCAUUUGCCACAGGGAGAGAUGAGCCGACUCGCCGUGUCUCUCGUGAUGUAACUCAGUAAUUCGCGUUUGUACGUAUGGAGAUAAGCAGCCUCUGAGGACUUCAUCCAUCGGAAAGGUGAAGACUGGGAGAAUUGGGCUGUUUUGCGGCGACAGGGGGAGUGAUGAGAGCUUCAUCUGACAGCUCGCAGCCGACGCAGCAUCCGCGGCGUGAGCUCUGACCACAGCUGGAUUUGAUGAGCUACGUCCGUGGGUGCCGAACCCUCGACAGAACCCGUGUGUCCUCACUCGUUUUUGUUGUGUUUUUACUGAGUACUGUUUAAAACAUUAUAGGCCACUGGAGGUAAGAGGGUGGUUUUUGAAUAUAUUUUAUUUUAUUUUUAUUUAUUUAUUUAUUUAUUUUAAAGACCGGCCUCGCUGCAGUUCAUUCCCCGCUCCUGGCCGCGCGUCUUACCCGUCUGCCUCAUCACAUCCUACGCGGCGUCUGGGUGCCGUCAGCCGCUCGGCAUUUUCGCUAAUUCUCCUACAUGACAGCUCUGACACUGAAGGCUAAUUUACAUUAUUUCACUUACCUUCUGUGAAAUACACAGACUGAAUUAAUCGACGAGAACUGCCGCGUCUAUGCGCCUCCGUCGCACCGCCCCGGAAAGGACUUCUUGCCACUGAGAGAGCUGGAUAUGCCGAGAUUAACGUGAAAGGAUGGAUCUAAUUGUCGCUGUUUUGGGGCUGCUGGCGCUGGUCGUUGGAGGCAUCAGCUGCCAAGGAGUGUACGUGUGCAAUAAGAGGUGAGCAUCGUCAUCUGUUGCUGCUUGAAUUCCACCACAAAAGCAAAGUCCUGCCCGAUGCCUCUGCAAUUAGUGUCGCAAAUUAUAUCUGGUAUGAAUCGUCAGCCUUGCCAGCAGAAGCAGCACUGACAGUGGCAGCUGUAGGAGGACUGAGAGGACAAAGUGAUUCAUGUGCACCAAGACGAGGACAUGGAAGAAUCCUUGAGGUGCCCAGCCCUUAUCUGUCAGUGCUGACAGUGGCUCUGACCAAAGCAAAAAGGCCCCACGGAGGAACGCUAACGCCAGAUGUAGAGACGUGGGGAUUGUAUUUUUCUCAGGCUUAGAAGAUUUUUUUUGUCAGCACGGAGUGUGAGACACAAGAAUGGCCACAGUUAACAUGACAGAAACUAUCAUGGGGUCACCAGGAUUGUCCUUUUUUGUUUAGAGGCAGGAGCCAAACGGUAAUAGGCGGGACAGUCCUGAUUGAUGAUCCAAUUAGAUUGUACUACUUCUUACAUCUACUGAUUGUGUACUUUGUGGCUCCAACUCUGGUAUAGUUUGCUAUAUUCCACUUGCAUCUGAAGACUGAUAUCUGAACUGUACAUGGCUUCAAAUUACAGUUGAUUACCCAACAGAUAGAAAUGAAAAAUUCACUAAGGCUACACGAACAAGCUAGCUCUAUUAACCUGAGUAAGUCGAAGUGAAUAAGGCGCUCUUUUGAGACAAUAUUUGUUGUGAAUUAUUAUAAAUGAACUAAACUGAAAUGUAGAAUUUUGUGUAUCAAAU